CCUGGCAAACUGAACGCAGCUGGGCGCCCUUCCGAGUCUGGGGCGUGGCUACGAUCCCUCUGCAACAGAGCUGUCCUUUGGGAAAGAAAUGCAAAAUGUAACAAGACAGCAUAAAACAAGAAUGUUACAUGUGUGGAGGUUAAGCCUGAAGAAGAGUUCUGUGAUGCUCAGAAGCUGCCUAUGUUCCUAUCUGGUCUGGGGCCAUUGGCCCUGCAUCACACGAAAGGUUGUGCAGCAGGAGCUGUGUUGGGUUGGAUCUCGCCCUUUAUCUCCUUGACAAAGUAGCCCAGCUCAUCCUUGACACUCUUUAUCUGAAAACUGUCUAGACUAUGGAGCAAGCUGGGUAUGAGCACAUGUUUGCGGCUAGAUUAAAUUCCUCUUGCUAUGACCUCUGGAAUUUCAGCAGCUGUGGGAGGACUUGGGCACCCAGCAGGUGGGAGGUUACUCUGCUGGCCCUGGAGGAGGAUCAGGAAUUCAUGGAAAUGUCAGGGUUAAAUAAAGGUGACCGGAGUUGUGUGAGAGAGAAGUAUUAUAAAUGGAAUUUUGAAAAAGUAAAAUAACAAGAAUGGAAUUGUGAGUUAUUUGCAAAUGCCUCUGUUCAUCGGGCCUUUUCCACACUUGGCAUCUCCCUGCCACUCGCCACUUAUUCCUUUGGAAACCCUUGAAGGGCUGCUCCAACCAGAGGCAGGGAUUUGGGUGGGUUGGGUUUGUGGCUUCCCCGUAAUGUCCUUUCAAGAAGAAUUGGAAAAUGAAUCUCCAGUGUUCGUCAACAUUGAGCCGACCCAGACAGCAGGCAGCCGGGGGAGAGAUGCCUGCUCCUUGCUCCCUUGCUUGCUGAGAUGGGUCCUGAAUCUCAGCCCUGCCUGCAAGGCAAGGGAGCCACGCUUUCCCAGGAAGUAGCAGAGGUUGCUAUGCGUUGCUCCCAUUUGACACAUGCCCAAUAAUGGUUUUUUAAAAAACAAAAAACAACAUUUUAA